AUCCUUUUUUGGUUCAUAAGCGUGAUGAUUGGGAAUUUAUGCUAAUGCAUGAUGUGUGUAUCCAUUAAACCUUGUUACAACAUUGGCACAUUACCUGUCUGAUG
rnacentral:snoRNA from 1 species